AGUAAUGCUUGGGAAUAUGCCUUAUGGUGGGGGACAACAGUUGGAAACGACUGCUAAUACCGCAUAACGUCUACGGACCAAAGGGGGGGAUCUUCGGACCUCUCGCCAUUUGAUUAGCCCAAGUGAGAUUAGCUAGUUGGUGAGGUAAUGGCUCACCAAGGCGACGAUCUCUAGCUGGUUUGAGAGGAUGAUCAGCCACACUGAGACUGAGACACGGCCCAG
rnacentral:rRNA from 1 species